rnacentral:rRNA from 1 species
GAUGAACGCUGGCGGCGUGCCUAAGACAUGCAAGUCGAGUGGGUUUAGACCCACGGCGAACGGGUGAGUAAUACCUAGGAACUUUCUUUAAGUUGAGGAUAUCCCGCCGAAAGGCGGUGCAAUACUCAAUGUGAUCGCAAGAUUAAAGUCGCAAGACGCUUAAAAUGAGGCCUGGGCACCAUCAGCUAGUUGGUAAGGUAACGGCUUACCAAGGCUACGACGGUUAGGGGCCCCGAGAGGGGAGACCCCCA